CCCUUAGAUGUCCGGGGCUGCACGCGCGCCACACUGAAGGAAUCAGCGUGCUAAAACCAUUGUCGAAAGGCAUUGGUAAACCCAUUAAAAUCCUACGUGAUUGGGAUCGGGAAUUGCAAUUAUUUCCCUUGAACGAGGAAUUCCCAGUAAGUGUGGGUCAUAAGCUCGCGUUGAUUACGUCCCUGCCCUUUGUACACACCGCCCGUCGCUGCCCGGGACUGAGCCGUUUCGAGAAAAGCGGGGACUGCUGCUGUCGGGGCUUUCGGGCCUUGGCUUCGGUGGAAACCGCUUUAAUCGCAGUGGCUUGAACCGGGCAAAAGUCGUANCA
rnacentral:rRNA from 1 species